AGGGUUUGAUUAUGGCUCAGAUUGAACGCUGGCGGAAUGCUUUACACAUGCAAGUCGAACGGCAGCAUAGAGAGCUUGCUCUCUGAUGGCGAGUGGCGAACGGGUGAGUAACAUAUCGGAACGUGCCUAAUAAUGGGGAACAACUAAUCGAAAGAUUAGCUAAUACCGCAUACGACCUACGGGUGAAAGCAGGGGAUCUUCGGACCUUGCGUUAUUAGAGCGGCCGAUAUCUGAUUAGCUUGUUGGUAGGGUAAAAGCCUACCAAGGCGACGAUCAGUAGCUGGUCUGAGAGGACGAUCAGCCACACUGGAACUGAGACACGGUCCAGACUCCUACGGGAGGCAGCAGUGGGGAAUUUUGGACAAUGGGGGCAACCCUGAUCCAGCCAUUCCGCGUGAGUGAAGAAGGCCUUCGGGUUGUAAAGCUCUUUCGCAAGAGAAGAAAGCUUGCUAUCUAAUAAAUAGUAAGUAUGACGGUAUCUUGACAAGAAGCACCGGCUAACUAUGUGCCAGCAGCCGCGGUAAUACAUAGGGUGCAAGCGUUAAUCGGAAUUACUGGGCGUAAAGCGUUCGCAGGCGGUUUUAUAAGUCAGAUGUGAAAUCCCCGAGCUCAACUUGGGAACUGCGUUUGAAACUGUAAGACUAGAGUGUGUCAGAGGGGGGUAGAAUUCC
rnacentral:rRNA from 1 species